rnacentral:rRNA from 1 species
CCCUACGGGACGCAGCAGUGGGGAAUAUUGCGCAAUGGGCGAAAGCCUGACGCAGCGACGCCGCGUGAAGGAAGAAGGCUUUCGGGUUGUAAACUUCUUUUCUCAGGGACGAAGCAAGUGACGGUACCUGAGGAAUAAGCCACGGCUAACUACGUGCCAGCAGCCACGGUAAUACGUAGGUGGCAAGCGUUAUCCGGAUUUACUGGGUGUAAAGGGCGUGUAGGCGGGACUGCAAGUCAGAUGUGAAAACCAUGGGCUCAACCUAUGGCCUGCAUUUGAAACUGUAGUUCUUGAGUACUGGAGAG